UACGUAGGGCGCAAGCGUUGUUCGGAUUCAUUGGGCGUAAAGGGUGUGUAGGUGGCGCGCUAAGUCGGGUGUGAAAUUUCGGAGCUUAACUCCGAAACUGCAUUCGAUACUGGCGUGCUUGAGGACUGGAGAGGAGACUGGAAUUCAUGGUGUAGCAGUGAAAUGCGUAGAGAUCAUGAGGAAGACCAGUGGCGAAGGCGACUUCUGGCCUGUAACUGACGCUGAGGCGCGAAAGCGUGGGGGAGCAAACAGG
rnacentral:rRNA from 1 species